rnacentral:rRNA from 1 species
CCUACGGGUGGCAGCAGUGAGGAAUAUUGGUCAAUGGACGAAAGGCUGACCCAGCCAUGCCGCGUGAAGGAUGACGGCGCUAUGAGUUGUAAACUUCUUUUGUACGGGGGUAAACGCAGGUACGCGUAUCUGCCUGACAGUAUCGUACGAAAAAGGAUCGGCUAACUCCGUGCCAGCAGCCGCGGUAAUACGGAGGAUUCAAGCGUUAUCCGGAUUUAUUGGGUUUAAAGGGUGCGUAGGCGGUCGGUUAAGUUAGAUGUGAAAUCCCGGGGCUCAACCUCGGAAGGGCCUGUGAUACUGUGCGGCUGGAGAGUAGAGGAGGUAGGCGGAAUGCGAGGUGUAGCGGUGAAAUGCUUAGAGAU